CGGCCACACUAUCUCGCUUUGAGUCCAAGUACCGCGGAGA
rnacentral:tRNA from 1 species